CUGAAUGUAAUCUUAAAGCAAUAGUUUGACAUUUUGGGAAAUACUCUAUGUGCUUUCUUUCUGAGAACUGGAAG